GCCGGAGUGGUGGAAUUGGUAGACACGCCAGACUCAAAAUCUGGUGGGCGAAAGUCCGUGCCGGUUCGAGCCCGGCCUCCGGUA
rnacentral:tRNA from 1 species